rnacentral:rRNA from 1 species
GACGAACGCUGGCGGCGCGCUUAACACAUGCAAGUCGAACGGAAAGGCCUGCUUUCCCUUGUGGAUUGCGGGUACUCGAGUGGCGAACGGGUGAGUAACACGUGAGUGAUCUGCCCCCAACUUGGGUAUAAGCCUGGGAAACUGGGUCUAAUUCCCGAUAGGACUGCAGGGUGGUGCCUGUGGUGGAAAACGAUUUUCUAGUGGUUGGGGAUGAGCUCGCGGCCUAUCAGCUUGUUGGUGGGGUAAUCGCCUACCAAGGCGGCGACGGGUAGCCGGCCUGAGAGGGUGGACGGCCACAUUGGGACUGAGAUACGGCCCAGACUCCUACGGGAGGCAGCAGUGGGGAAUAUUGCACAAUGGGCGGAAGCCUGAUGCAGCGACGCCGCGUGGGGGAUGACGGCCUUCGGGUUGUAAACUCCUUUCGACCGCGAGGAAGCCACCUGGUUGGAAGGGUGGUGACGGUAGUGGUAGAAGAAGCACCGGCUAACUACGUG